rnacentral:lncRNA from 1 species
GAGCCUGAGUCAAGAAUUCUAAUGUCCCAACUGUAAAACAGUCUCCUGGAGGAAGCUUUGGAGAUUGGAGAUUUUCCAUCUGUCUACCAGGUUUCUGGCCCUUUGGAAGAUACCAGCUUGAGUGAGAGAAAACCUGUUUGGAGUGGCUGCUGGCAGCUAGACAGAAGACCACAGAAGAAUCACUUCUCUACUGGACCUACUUUGGACAUUUUCUUCUGGGAUCUUGGCUCAUACACUGGACUCUAUUUUAUACAUCAGACAGAGCAAAAAUUUCUUGAAUUUCAAGGUAGGACAGAGUAUAUAUCAAUUCAAGUGUUUAUAGAGAAGGAGGACAAAGAGCAAGAGGAGAAGAAAAAGAAGAAAGAGGAGAAGGAGAAGAAGAAGGUAAUGAUGAUGGAGGAGGAGGAGAGAAGGGGAAGAAAGAAGAGUAGACAAAAAAGAGGAUAAGAGUGAGGUACUACAGAAAUAGCAGUAGCUUAUAUUUAUAUAAUAUUUAUGGCUAUAAAAUAUCUUAAGUGCAUUAUCUCAUUUGACCCUCACAGUAACCCAAUGAGGUAGGUAGCGU